CCAGACUCCUACGGGAGGCAGCAGUGGGGAAUAUUGCACAAUGGGCGGAAGCCUGAUGCAGCAACGCCGCGUGCGGGAUGACGGCCUUCGGGUUGUAAACCGCUUUCGCCUGUGACGAAGCGUGAGUGACGGUAAUGGGUAAAGAAGCACCGGCUAACUACGUGCCAGCAGCCGCGGUGAUACGUAGGGUGCGAGCGUUGUCCGGAUUUAUUGGGCGUGAAGGGCUCGUAGGUGGUUGAUCGCGUCGGAAGUGUAAUCUUGGGGCUUAACCCUGAGCGUGCUUUCGAUACGGGUUGACUUGAGGAAGGUAGGGGAGAAUGGAAUUCCUGGUGGAGCGGUGGAAUGCGCAGAUAUCAGGAGGAACACCAGUGGCGAAGGCGGUUCUCUGGGCCUUUCCUGACGCUGAGGAGCGAAAGCGUGGGGAGCGAACAGGCUUAGAUACCCUGGUAGUCCACGCUGUAAACGGUGGGUACUAGGUGUGGGGUCCAUUCCACGGGUUCCGUGCCGUAGCUAACGCUUUAAGUACCCCGCCUGGGGAGUACGGCCGCAAGGCUAAAACUCAAAGGAAUUGACGGGGGCCCGCACAAG
rnacentral:rRNA from 1 species